rnacentral:rRNA from 1 species
AGCAGUCGCCGCGGUAAUACGGAGGGUGCGAGCGUUAAUCGGAAUUACUGGGCGUAAAGCGUACGCAGGCGGUUUGUUAAGUCAGAUGUGAAAUCCCCGAGCUUAACUCGGGAACUGCAUUUGAAACUGGCAGGCUAGAGUCUCGUAGAGGGGGGUAGAAUUCCAGGUGUAGCGGUGAAAUGCGUAGAGAUCUGGAGGAAUACCGGUGGCGAAGGCGGCCCCCUGGACAAAGACUGACGCUCAGGUGCGAAAGCGUGGGGAGCAAACAGGAUUAGAUACCCGCGUAGUCCCUGUCUCUUAUAC